rnacentral:rRNA from 1 species
CCUACGGGUGGCUGCAGUGGGGAAUAUUGGACAAUGGGCGAAAGCCUGAUCCAGCCAUGCCGCGUGUGUGAAGAAGGCCUUCGGGUUGUAAAGCACUUUCAGUGGGGAAGAAAGCCUUGGGGCUAAUACCCUCGAGGAAGGACAUCACCCACAGAAGAAGCACCGGCUAACUCCGUGCCAGCAGCCGCGGUAAUACGGAGGGUGCGAGCGUUAAUCGGAAUUACUGGGCGUAAAGCGCGCGUAGGCGGUCUGAUAAGCCGGUUGUGAAAGCCCCGGGCUCAACCUGGGAACGGCAUCCGGGGUGGGCAGGCAGAGCGGCGGGAGAGAGGAGAGAAGUCCCCGGUGGAGCGGGGAAUGCGGAAAGGACGGGGAGGCAGACCGGGGGGAGGGGGGGCCUUCAGAACGAACACACAACGUGGUGUGCAAAACCUUGGGUAAAAAACGGGAUUACACCACCCGUAAUUG